UUAGGGGCCUCAGGGGGAUGUGUGCUCUUCCCAGUCCCUGUCUAGACGCUACUGCACCCCAGCUAGGAUGGCGUUCCAUCUCUGUCUGCUUGAGCAGAACACCCCUUUCUAUUUCAGCUCUGCCAGCCCUGGCCCUGCACUGCUCAUGUCACAACCUGUGGGCACCUCCUCUGUACCAAGGGUGGAAUAGAGGCAGCCUGGCAGGGUCUGUUCUGAGUCUGGAUUCUCCUGCUGGCUGAUGCCCAGGGCUGCCUCCCCUAUGAACGUGACCAGGUCCUAUGUGCACAUCCUGGACAAUGUGCUGGCAGGAGGAAGAAGGCUGCUCCACAGGCACCCCACCACAGCCCUGUCCCACUGGAAGCAGCCUCCUACCCCCAGCACCUGACUUCCAAGCACAGGGAGCUGGUGCCAAGCACUGAGGAGGCUGGGUGGCCCUGAAGUGAUGACUUCUGGGGUGGGAAGUCUAUAAAGAAGGGGGCAUUUCUGUCUCAGGGAUCCUGUGGUUGCUCCCCUACUGGCAACAGCAGA